GCAGGUGGGGGCUCGGAAAGGUGCGCGCGGGGCAGAGGGUGUGGGACCAGCCAAGGGCUGGAGGACUCACGGGGCGAGCCCGGGUGCCGCCCGGAAGUUCUCCUCGGCGCAGGGAUGUCAGGAGGAGUUCAACCGACUCCUCCAAGGGACUCAGCCCAGCUUAACACGCCGUAGCGUGGCGGAGCGUCGCAGGCGUCCCCAAGCAGAAACUUGCUGGGCAGGACAGACCCGUUGGCUCCGCGUUCCAGCCAGUGCUUAGCCUCCCUGGUGCCUGGGGAGGAUGAGUUGGCCAACAGUUUCAAUCUCAUAUCCAGGCUCUGUCCUGGGGAAACUCGGGGUUUUUUGAAUUUCACACAUUGUUCUAUCGUAGGGUUCAGAAAGAGCCUUUGAUGACCUUAGGGCGCUGCUGCUGACCACGGCUCUGAAAGACAAGGACCUUGGGACGCUAAAGGUGGAACAGGGCAGACACAUGAUCCGUGUUAAUUCUGUUAAGUCUAAUCCUGUUAGCGGGUGCUUAGUUUUCUUCACAGAUAUUUGUGAGCUGGUCCUUAAAGGUCCUUAAAAACACACUCAUGUAAUUCACACAAGCCAGACAGGGGAGCACCUUUAUUGUAAUUAGUCAAUAAUUUAUUAGGUCAUUACUAAAAACAAGUGAUAGGUUGUUUUUAAAUCCUAAUGACUAACAAGCAAAAACAAACGUCAGAGUAGGAUGCAAUGGAAAACAGCAGAUCCGGGUAGAGACGCUUGCAGCCAAGCCUGAUGACCUGAGUUCAAUCCCCAGGCCCUACAUACACGAUGGAUGUAGAGAACUGCCUCCAGAAAGCUGUGCAUUCUUAUCCGCGUGCUUACACCCACACAUAUAAAUAGGGCCAGAGAAAAAAUACUUCUGGAUAGAAAGAUAAAAUGACCUCGGAGCAGGCCACAGAGGCUGGAAUGGGUUGACUCUGGCUGUUGAUCCUACCCAGCAGAAAGGAGGACCAGGGUUCUUUUCAACUUUCUUCCAGAAGUUGAGGAGCCAGUAUUCCAACUCCAGUGGUGCGGAUUAUCCCCGUGGCCUCUAGUAAGUGGGUAAGCCUAUGUCUCCGUCUGUAAAGGACCAGUAAGGAGAUUGGCCUCCCUUUUAGCUGCGACAGUGUCAGACUCUGGUCCUUGUCCACAUGGGCACAGGGAAGUAGUACUUCUCUCUCCCUCCCACAGUCCACCCCUCGGUGGUUUUCUUCCUUUUCUUUCUUCUCCUUUUGCAGUGGGAGAGAAGUCAGUGAGGGUAACAGAGUCCACCCAGGGAGGAGGGACAGUACAGGGCCAUCACCUGCAGCUCUGCCACUCCCUGUCGUUCAGCCGUGAUUCAUUUCUGUCUUCAUUAUCGUUAUUGACUCGAUGCGUGAUCGAUGGAACCACAGGCUUGCCACAGAGCCAGCCCCCACCCUCAGACAGUCAGCAGUGUUUGCUGAAGAAGUGAAAGAAGAAAUAAACGGUUAGAAAUCUA